CCCUUGAUAGCUCAGCUGGAAGAGGUACGUUUCUAGCUAUCUCGAGGCCCGCGGUUCGAUCCCGCGUCGAGGGA
rnacentral:tRNA from 1 species